rnacentral:rRNA from 1 species
CCUACGGGAGGCUGCAGUGGGGAAUAUUGCACAAUGGGCGCAAGCCUGAUGCAGCCAUGCCGCGUGUGUGAAGAAGGCCUUCGGGUUGUAAAGCACUUUCAGCGGGGAGGAAGGCGUUAAGGUUAAUAACCUUGUCGAUUGACGUUACCCGCAGAAGAAGCACCGGCUAACUCCGUGCCAGCAGCCGCGGUAAUACGGAGGGUGCAAGCGUUAAUCGGAAUUACUGGGCGUAAAGCGCACGCAGGCGGUCUGUCAAGUCGGAUGUGAAAUCCCCGGGCUCAACCUGGGAACUGCAUUCGAAACGGGCAGGAUAGAGUCUUGUAGAGGGGGGUAGAAUUCCAGGUGUAGCGGUGAAAUGCGUAGAGAUCUGGAGGAAUACCGGUGGCGAAGGCGGCCCCCUGGACAAAGACUGACGCUCAGGUGCGAAAGCGUGGGGAGCAAACAGGAUUAGAUACCCGAGUAGUC